GCGGAUAUGGCGGAAUUGGCAGACGCGUUAGAUUCAGGUUCUAAUGGAUGCAAGUCCAUGCAGGUUCAAGUCCUGUUAUCCGCA
rnacentral:tRNA from 1 species